rnacentral:lncRNA from 1 species
UGAAAUGACUUGCUACAACUUCGUCUUUUCUCAUUGGACCUUGAGAACAAUGCAGAGAUUGCAUUGUCCCCCAUGUCAGAGCCAGGAGAUCAGGGGUGCAGACGUGUGAAGUGACCCAUCCUAGAUCCCACCGCUGUUCGCAUUCUCAAGUUUGAGCUUAGAUCCUCUGCUUCCAAGCGUGAUUAAUUUCACUUUCUGUGUCUUACUCCAUGAGCCCUAAUGCUUCUGCUGAGAUUCCUAAUUCAGUGAAACCUGUUUAGGGGAUCAUCUCUGUUAGGCAGACAGCUGCUGAAAAGGCAUUCACUUUCCAAGCAUGGAUUUUAGAUUAUGGCCAAUCAAGACUCCGGCCUGGAAGAACACCUGUCAGAGACGUUUUUCUACAAGGAGAUGGUCUCUUUAAUCAUAUUUCAUUGUACUUCAGAAAAAGGGAGCAAAGUUUGUCAUCUUGAUACACUAGAUCUUUGAUGAUAUCAAUAAGGAAACAUCCACACCCUUUGGUUAAAAGACUCUGAGACUUCAAGGACUGCUGGCUGUUCAGAAGAGGCUGUGGUGGUUCAAGUGAGGCUCAAGGCUGUAGUUAUACCAAUCUGUUACUCCAUGAAGAGUCCAAGGCUGCUGAACAGAGUGAACCUCAGAACAGAUAGCAGUGGCACCUAGAAGAUAUAAUCUCAACAGCAGAUGAGUUAUUGAGGGAUGAUUGCUGAUUAUGGAUUCCUCUUCAUCUCUCUUAACUUAUAUUCCAAGCUGUUAACCUAGAAUAAAUCCUACUAUAUCUAAUUAAUGCAUUAAUCAAACUUUGUUUUGAAUGGAAGGGGGGAGAAUAUGUUGAUUACCCCGGCUAGUGGGAUACAAAAUAUACCUAAAGCAGAAUAUCUUUCUCCAUCAUGAAUAACAUUAAUCUCUGCAGUUCUUACAAGUGAAUAAUUAUUAUAUAGUUUGUUUCCUAUUUGUCUGGCUUGGUAUUUAUCCUUUAUGAGUUUCCAGGUGACAAUUUGUUUCAGGAAGAAUUCUCCAGAAACAAUUUUUUAAGAUUAUCGUCAAAUUCCUUAAUAAAGAGUUGAAAGCCAAACUCACUAGGUGAAAUGCAACAACAACCAAUGGGCAACAGACUGAUCUCCAACUUCCUGAAUUCUUUUUUUUUUUUUUUUUUUGAGACAGGGUCUCUCUCUGUCGAUCAGGCUGGAGUGCAGUGGCUCAAUCUUGGCUCACUGCAGCCUCCACCUCCCAGGCCCAAGCAAUCCCGAGUAGUAGGGACUCAGGCACGCACCACGACACCUGGCUAAUUUUUUGUAUUUUUGGUAGAGAGAGGGUUUCACCAUGUUGCCCAGGCUGGUCUUGAGCUCCUGAGCUCAAAGUAUUUGCUUGCCUCAGCCUCCCAAAGUGCUGGGGUUACAGGCGUGAGCCACCGUGCCAGGCCUUUAAUUCUUAAUUGCCGCCAGGAUUGAUUGGUAAGGCUGUAGAAGAGUUGCUGUCCAUUCCAAGUCUUCCCAUCUGAAGCAACCACCAUGCCACAGCCUUAUUCUGUCCCAUGGCUGUUUUGUGCAUCUCCAAGUGUACCAGUGUGAGGCCCUCAAACACACCCAUGCCCUCUGAUGAAAUAAUGUUGGUCGUGAUAACCACAGGGAUGUCACAGCCGCCGUUCCACACUCUAACUAAUUCUUAUUUUGUUCCAACAACAACAAUUUGAAAUGGGAAGAACCACCCCAUUUUAGACAUUUCAAAACGAGGGCUUGGAUAGAUUAUGUACCUUGUCCAAGGUCACACAACCAAAUGGCAAGGUACGGACUCAACCUAGUUCCAUCUGCCUCCAGUCCAAAACCCAGAGCUCUCAACUGCCACCCUCAUUGUCUCUACUAGAUACGGGCUUCCCUGCGGUAACUGUUGAGGCUGGAAAACACAGGCCUGAGAGAACUUUUAAAUAUGAAAUGAUAACUCUUUGCCUACUGAGAUUCUUAUUUUUAAAAACCCAGAGGAAGAUCAUAUUUAUAUAUUUAUUCAACAUUCACGUAUGAUAUUUAGAUUUACAAAAUGCUUUAUAGUGUAACAGAAUGGGCAGAAAUUUUUACUCGGGCUUAUAAUUGUCUUUUCUUUCAUAUUCAUUUAUUCCUUUGAUUUAUAUAAUGUGUUCUCUGCUUGGUCUUCUGAGAUUACGUACAAUGGUAACAAAUCGAAAAUAAUAUUAAUAAAAGAUUAUUUUGUAUCACUCACAGGGAAAACUGACUGGGGCCAUGCGCCUCUCUGUUCUUUAGAAACGUUAUGCGAGAGAACAUAAUAUUGUCCCCAGAAUACUGUCUGUAAUGCCGGCUAUGCUUAUUCGUGGUGCUUUAAAAAUAAAUUUAACUCCUGUUCUUCAUUUUGUGUGUGUGUGUGUGUUAUUUACUUCCUUCUCUUCAGGUGGCUGGGGUGCUUCACAGCUAUAAUGAACUGCUGUGAGCAUCACCUGAAGUCGCCAAACUACUUUCUUCACUGAUCAUUGAGCAUGA